rnacentral:rRNA from 1 species
AGUGAACGCUGGCGGUAGGCCUAACACAUGCAAGUCGAGCGGCAGCACAGUAAGAGCUUGCUCUUACGGGUGGCGAGUGGCGGACGGGUGAGGAAUACAUCGGAAUCUACUUUUUCGUGGGGGAUAACGUAGGGAAACUUACGCUAAUACCGCAUACGACCUACGGGUGAAAGCAGGGGAUCUUCGGACCUUGCGCGAUUGAAUGAGCCGAUGUCGGAUUAGCUAGUUGGCGGGGUAAAGGCCCACCAAGGCGACGAUCCGUAGCUGGUCUGAGAGGAUGAUCAGCCACACUGGAACUGAGACACGGUCCAGACUCCUACGGGAGGCAGCAGUGGGGAAUAUUGGACAAUGGGCGCAAGCCUGAUCCAGCCAUACCGAGUGGGUGAAGAAGGCCUUCGGGUUGUAAAGCCCUUUUGUUGGGAAAGAAAAGCAGCAGGUUAAUACCCCGCUGUUCUGACGGUACCCAAAGAAUAAGCACCGGCUAACUUCGUG